UACGAAGGGGGCUAGCGUUGCUCGGAAUUACUGGGCGUAAAGGGCGCGUAGGCGGAUACUUAAGUUAGAGGUGAAAGUCCAGGGCUCAACCCUGGAACAGCCUUUAAUACUGGGUAUCUUGAGUUCGGGAGAGGUGAGUGGAACUCCGAGUGUAGAGGUGAAAUUCGUAGAUAUUCGGAAGAACACCAGUGGCGAAGGCGACUCACUGGCCCGAUACUGACGCUGAGGCGCGAAAGCGUGGGGAGCAAACAGG
rnacentral:rRNA from 1 species